UAUUACCAGAAACACGAUUGGUGCUU
rnacentral:piRNA from 1 species